AGCAGCCGCGGUAAUUCCAGCUCCAAUAGCGUAUAUUAAAGUUGUUGCAGUUAAAAGCUCGUAGUUGAAUUCCGGGAUCAAAGGAUCGGUCAUGCCUUGGUAUGUACUGGUUUUAUUGGUUCUCACCUUCUAAAGAACCAUAAUGUCAUUCAUUUGAUGUUAUGGGGAAUUAGGACUGUUACCUUGAAAAAUUGAGUGUUUAAAGCAGGCUUACGCUUGAAUACAUUAGCAUGGAAUAAUGAAAUAGGACAUCAGAUUCUAUUUUGUUGGUUUCUAGGAUCGAUGUAAUAAUUAAUAGGGAUAGUUGGGGGCAUUAGUAUUCAAUUGUCAGAGGUGAAAUUCUUGGAUUUAUUGAAGACUAACUACUGCGAAAGCAUUUGCCAAGGAUGUUUCAUUAAUCAAGAACGAAAGUUAGGGGAUCGAAGACGAUCAGAUACCGUCGUAGUCUUAACCAUAAACUAUGCCGACUAGGGAUCGGAUGAUGUUAAUUUUAUAAUGACUCAUUCCGG
rnacentral:misc_RNA from 1 species